UGGGGAAUAUUGGACAAUGGGCGCAAGCCUGAUCCAGCAAUGCCGCGUGUGUGAAGAAGGCCUGCGGGUUGUAAAGCACUUUCAGUAAGGAGGAAAAGUUGCAGGUUAAUACCCUGUGACCUUGACGUUACUUACAGAAGAAGCACCGGCUAACUCCGUGCCAGCAGCCGCGGUAAUACGGAGGGUGCGAGCGUUAAUCGGAAUUACUGGGCGUAAAGCGCGCGUAGGUGGCUUGGUAAGUCGGAUGUGAAAGCCCUGGGCUUAACCUGGGAAUUGCAUUCGAUACUGCCUGGCUAGAGUAUGGUAGAGGGUAGUGGAAUUCCUGGUGUAGCGGUGAAAUGCGUAGAUAUCAGGAGGAACAUCAGUGGCGAAGGCGGCUACCUGGACCAAUACUGACGCUGAGGUGCGAAAGCGUGGGGAGCAAACAGGAUUAGAUACCCGUGUAGUCC
rnacentral:rRNA from 1 species